UGGCGAGGCUGCAUCUGCAGUGCUGUGUCCAGUUCUGAGCUCCUCAGGACAGGAGACAUGGACCUCCUGGAGCGGGUCCAGCAGAGGAUGUGAG